ACGGCUAGAAAUAUUCCUGAGAGAUCAAUACAUUUUUUAAGGGUUUUAGGACUUCUUUUGUGAUCAAAAAAGUAUGAAAAAAUUAUUUAUAAAUAGGGGGUUCGGGAAUAAACUUUAAGAGAAAAAAAAUCAGAAAAAAAAUAAGAAAUGAAUAGAAAAAAAAUUCAAAGAGCUUUAGGGAUCAAUUAUUGGGGGAUUAUGGAGUUAGAGAGCUUGAUGCGAGGCUAAAUCCUUUCAAUCCAGGAAU
rnacentral:lncRNA from 1 species